rnacentral:rRNA from 1 species
AUAAUGGGUCAGCGACUUAUAUUCUGUAGCAAGGUUAACCGAAUAGGGGAGCCGAAGGGAAACCGAGUCUUAACUGGGCGUUAAGUUGCAGGGUAUAGACCCGAAACCCGGUGAUCUAGCCAUGGGCAGGUUGAAGGUUGGGUAACACUAACUGGAGGACCGAACCGACUAAUGUUGAAAAAUUAGCGGAUGACUUGUGGCUGGGGGUGAAAGGCCAAUCAAACCGGGAGAUAGCUGGUUCUCCCCGAAAGCUAUUUAGGUAGCGCCUCGUGAAUUCAUCUCCGGGGGUAGAGCACUGUUUCGGCAAGGGGGUCAUCCCGACUUACCAACCCGAUGCAAACUGCGAAUACCGGAGAAUGUUAUCACGGGAGACACACGGCGGGUGCUAACGUCCGUCGUGAAGAGGGAAACAACCCAGACCGCCAGCUAAGGUCCCAAAGUCAUGGUUAAGUGGGAAACGAUGUGGGAAGGCCCAGACAGCCAGGAUGUUGGCUUAGAAGCAGCCAUCAUUUAAAGAAAGCGUAAUAGCUCACUGGUCGAGUCGGCCUGCGCGGAAGAUGUAACGGGGCUAAACCAUGCACCGAAGCUGCGGCAGCGACGCUGAUGCGUUGUUGGGUAG